UGGGUCCGUCCAAGAACCACAAAGCGGAAGAUUACAGUUCGAAGAAGCGAACGAUCACCUAAUCUAAUGAUUAAACGAUUUCAACGAACUCUGAUCAUCGCCGUUAUGUUAGCGUUACCGGUUGAGGCACAGAAGCAGUAAGUCUAUAGAUUUGAGGUUCUGUCUGCAUAAAGUUUGUCUUGAAGAAAAAAAAAUAGUCAAGGUUGUACUUCAUGGCCAGGAUAAAACCUCAGGCUUUGCUACUCCAAAGCAAAAAGAAGAAGGGGCCAACUCGUAUCAGUGCCACUACAAUAAUUCUGUGCAACCUAGUUGUUAUGUUGCUUGUAUUGUCCUUGGUUGCUACAUACAGGCAUUGGUCUCAGAGGUCUACGGAACAAACAGGACUAUCAAAUUUUGAGGACACUUCGGAUAUCUUAACAGAUUCAAAGAAGUAUGAUCUUCCGGGUUAUGCUGUUUUGAAUACAUCAAAGGGUUAUAUUACAGUAGAACUGUACAAAGAUGGUUCUCCUGAGAUUGUGGACAAAUUUCUCGACUCAUGUCAAAAGGGCUACUUCAAAGGGAUGCCUUUUCAUCAUGUGAUCAAACAUUAUGUAAUUCAAGGAGGGCAUUCCCAAGGUCUUGGAGGUACAGAAGAUUGGACUACAAAAGUGAAGCUUCGUAGUCGGCUUGCUACAAGCCCAAAGCAUGAGGCAUUUAUGCUUGGAACUUUGAAAACUAAAGACAGCCAAGGGUUUGAGAUAUUUAUUACCACUGCACCAAUUCCAGAUUUAAGUGAUAAGCUUAUGGUGUUUGGACGGGUCAUCAAGGGAGAGGAUGUAGUGCAGGAAAUCGAGGAGGUGGACACAGAUGAACACUAUCGGCCCAAAUCCCCUAUAGGGAUCAUCAAUGUGACUCUGAAAAGUGAAAUUUGAGUGCUAUUACUACUUGGUGUAAAUUUUUCCUAUGGGUAGUGAUAACACUCUGUGAUGCCGCAUGCUGGAGAUUUCUCUCCAAGGUUGUUCAUGUGCUACAUUUUUCUUCAUACUUGCAUUUCCACUUAUCCACUCCAGUCUUUUUUGGGGUGGGGGUUUUGGAGUUUACGGGGGCUGAAUUGUUUUGGGAAGUAAAGGACCUUCAUAUUUUUGUGUAGGCAAAUACAACAUUCUGUUUAAUUCCAGUGAAGAUCUGUUGUGACCCCCUCUGCUAUUGUUGU
rnacentral:misc_RNA from 1 species